rnacentral:rRNA from 1 species
UAUGUGAUCGUCUCUCGCAUAUCAAUAAGCGGAGGAAAAGAAACUAACAAGGAUUCCCCUAGUAACGGCGAGUGAAGCGGGAAGAGCUCAAAUUUGAAAUCUUAAAGGGUUUCCCUUUACGAAUUGUAGUUUAAAGAAGUGUUUUCUGUUGAGGUUUUGGUAAAAGUUCUUUGGAAUAGGACAUCAUAGAGGGUGAGAAUCCCGUAUUUGACCUUUACUUUCAACUUUGUGAUACACUUUCAAAGAGUCGGAUUGUUUGGGAAUGCAGUCCAAAAUGGGUGGUAAAUUUCAUCUAAAGCUAAAUAUUGGCGAGAGACCGAUAGCGAACAAGUACCGUGAGGGAAAGAUGAAAAGAACUUUGAAAAGAGAGUUAAACAGUACGUGAAAUUGUCAAAAGGGAAGCGUUUGACACCAGUGUUGUUUUUCUGAAAAUCAAUUAAAGAACUGUUUAUGCUAAGCUUGUUUAGACUUUAUCAGCUAACUGUUUAGUUUUGAGCUUUUCUUUAAUGCACUUUUCAGUUAACAAGUCAACAUCAAUUUCUUUUGCUGUAAAAAAGCUUGAGGAAGGUGGCUUGAGAUUCGUCUUAAGUGCUUAUAGCCUCUUGCCUAUGCAGUCGGAGAGAUUGAGGUCUGCAGCGUAGAUCCUUCGGGGCUAAAUGCAUUUGUGCUAAGUUAUAGCAUUUUAUAGACAACUUGUUGACUAUGAUUUGUCUUGUAGCUUACUCGCUUAUGUUAUUUUACCUACGCUUAGGAUGUUGACACACGCGCGUGCUCG